GAUGACGCUAGCGGCAGGCCUAACACAUGCAAGUCGAGGGGUAACAGAAGUAGCUUGCUACUUGCUGACGACCGGCGCACGGGUGCGUAACGCGUAUAGAACCUACCUUUUACUGAGGGAUAGCCCAGAGAAAUUUGGAUUAACACCUCAUGGUAUCAUUAAUUGGCAUCGAUUGAUGAUUAAAGGUUACGGUAAGAGAUGGCUAUGCGUCCUAUUAGCUAGUAGGUGUGGUAACGGCACACCUAGGCGACGAUAGGUAGGGGCCCUGAGAGGGGGAUCCCCCACACUGGUACUGAGACACGGACCAGACUCCUACGGGAGGCAGCAGUGAGGAAUAUUGGUCAAUGGGCGGAAGCCUGAACCAGCCAUGCCGCGUGCAGGAAGACUGCCCUAUGGGUUGUAAACUGCUUUUAUAUAGGAAGAAACCCAGAUACGUGUAUCUGGCUGACGGUACUAUAAGAAUAAGCAUCGGCUAACUCCGUGCCAGCAGCCGCGGUAAU
rnacentral:rRNA from 1 species